ACAGCAGUUAAACAGCCCUGUCCCGUCAGCUGGCAUGGGCCAGCCACAGGUGUCUAAUUGCAGAGUAGACAUUUCCUGUGACACUGAGCACAGGAACUGAGAGCAGGGAGAUUGUCUCUUCUGUGCUCUGUGCCCCCGCUGCUGGCCCCCAAGCAGGACGGAAGGAGAAACUGGAAUGGAACCCAAGAUUCAUGAGUCUCACCAUUUCUCUGUUGUCAGCAAAUAUCUGUGAAAUCCAUUGUCAACAGAACUUUCACUAUUUCCAGCCUUCUACUACCUUGGGUGUUUUGAGACUAUUGAUAUUCUUCUGUGGCUCCAUCCAGCCUUUCCUG